rnacentral:lncRNA from 1 species
AAAAAUGUUAGGCACAAUAUAUUAAAAUGUUAAACCCAAUAUAUUAAAAUAAUAUGCUUCACAUCUGUUUCUAUCACAAUAUCCACAUUUAAAAAAACCUUUUCCUUCACAUAUCGAAUCAAAUUUUUCGACACGCCUAAGAAAAAUAAAGUGUUCAGUAAAACCAUCUAAUUGUAUCCCGAAAAAAGGGAAUGAGCAAUCUUGAACCUGUUCAAGCAAAAUACCAUGUUUUGUGGCCAGGCAAUAUUCUUUUUCAGACUUUUUGUGAACAAUUGCCAAUGAUUAUGUUUUUGGGUUUCCCUUUUCUUUUUUCCCUGCGGAAUUGCUAUGAGAAUAUUACACCAAAUACUAGCUUCCUCUAAAAUAUUGUUUUAUUUAUCAAUCCUUAGUUCUGCCUGUUUUAUCAUCAUGACAUUUAGAUGCGUAAGUUCUCUCAGUUUGAAUUUUCUUGUUCAUUUGACAAAAAAAAUAAUAAAAAA